GGGAGGAAGGCUCGCUCGACGGUGAAGGGUGAGCCGCGCGGUGGAGCUGCGUGAUCUGCCGUCGGGCUGGGAGGUUUCCGAUCGGGCGGAGAGCUCUAGGCGUAGAUCGCGCGACGGUGGGAAGCAACACAACGGGCUAGAUCUAGUUGCAUGCGUCGUUCUGCUGUGAGGUGACGGGAGUUCUCUGAAGAUUCUAGCGACAACAGUUACAGGGGUAUCUCCGGUGCUAAUCUCCUUCAAUCACGUGCUAUUCUGCAUGCUAUAAUGAAUAAGGAGACAGACAAGCAUUCCCGACUGCGGCUACCAUUGUCCCAGUCCAAACAGAUGUUCCUAGCGCAUUUAGGAAGACUACCAUUGUCCCAACUGCAAAUUUGGCACCAAAAACUGCUCCUGCACGACCCUUUAAGGUGGUGUUUUGUUACUGUACUUUCACUUUAACCUGUCUAAUUCUAAUUCAACUAGUAAGUAAUACAUGCUGGAUAAGCAACCUAAAAAAACAAAAAAAUGUCAGUUUAUCUUGCAAUUAUAAGAAGGUAUCUACAUUUUGUAGCAAUGCAAUUUCAUUUUUUUAUCUGCCAUGCAACUACUUUCAGACUUCUCUUCUCUGGUCACUUGAAAAUGGUUUUCAUUGUUGAAUAAUGGAAGACACCUAAAUUGCAAUCUGAUCUAAUGUAUGUUGCAAGUUCAUAAUAACCAAGUUGGUUUCCCAAGGAAGCAUAAGUUGCAUUUUACUUUUUCAAAUAAUUCGGCUACUGAAACUAUGCAAGUUGAAUUCACUACUACCAUACUUAAGUUGUUUCAUCACCAUGCUUAAGUUGCCUAAAAAAUAACACCCAACUUGGAUUCAGCAACAUGAUCAAGUGGAGUAGUGAAUAAUACCCCGAGUUGAAUUAACUAGCGUACUAAAGUUCUUGUCAUAACCAUACUUAAGUUGGCUCAGUAAAGACCCAAGUUGAUUUAAGAAUCUUGCUAAAGUUGGAUUUUCACAGUACCCUAGUUUUUUUCCCCGUCAUUUCUAGCAAAAUGUAAAAGUUUAGGUACAUAUGCAAGUCCUGGUUUUGAGUAUGUUAUUCACUUUAGAUAUGCCCAGAGAUAACAUUAACAUCAGAGUUGAAUAAUGGGAGACACCUAAAUUGUAACACUUCCUCCAGUUCAUAUUAGUUGACUCAACGUGUUUGUUGAUUAGAUAUAUUUGUAUCUAGACAAAGUUGAGUCAAUUAAUUUGGAUCAGCGAGAGUAUGUUUUAGUGUAUGUUGCAGAGUCACACUAACCAAGUUGAUUUUCCCAAGGAAGCCUAAGUUGCACUUUUUACUUCUCUAAAAGAAUUAUUUCUAUGCAGAACAUUUUCUUUUAUAGGAACAUGAAGGGGAGGAUAACAGAGUUUACCUUUGAGAUUCUUUUUAUGCAGGAUAGCAUGUAUUGGAGUUCUAACUUCUUCAGACAAUUCCUGAGAUCCAAGGAGGUCUGGAGGAGGAAGAAGGGCUGGAAUUCUUCUUUCAGAAGAAGCAUCUGGACAAGAGGGAUGGUGAGAGAGAGGGGUGGUUGGGGGGCGGUACCCAUCUGAGGUGGUAGAUAAAGACAAGGUCUUUCUGUUUUUGCAUCGUCUGUAUUAAACUAUUUUGUCUGGACACGACCUUUUUACCAAUCGAGUGCUGGGCUGGACAACCUAGCAUCCGGAUGCUAGACCGGACAAACGAGCACCCUGAUGCUGGGUUUGGCAAACUAGCACCCGGGUGCUGGGUCGGGCAAACCAGCACCGGAUGCUGCCUAGCCACGUCCUAAAUUAUAGUGAUGGUUACCCUUA